rnacentral:lncRNA from 1 species
AGCAUUUUACCGAAACAGUGGCACGGAGAACACUGUCAUUGUUUCAACUUCUGAUUAUCCCUUUAAAGAAUUGAUUUAUAUAGGAAACCAAAGCCUCGUAUAGGAGAUCAUUUUCCUAUAGCUCAUUGACCGCAGACAAUCACCUCUCUUUCCUUGUGUAUUCUAUGUCAUCGUGUUUCACUGAAAUGUUAUCUGUUUUUAUUCUGUCAGACUUGUUCCUGCUGUGCCGAGCCGGGAGAGGUUCAGCAUCAGAGUCCAUCUGUCCCCCAUCCCCUCUGUGGAGACAGACAGUCAACAAACCCAGGGGGAGACAUGGGUCAAAGAGUGCACAGCUAAACAGCACCUGCAGAGGCACGAGGAACAAGAUGCGAAAAUGAAGAGAUUGUAUGUCAAUCUGAAGAAAUUGGUGCAGGCUGGGAGCCCAGAGGUUUUACAAGAGGUCGUGACAAGCCAGGCGUCUUUAGAGGCCAAGAAACAGAAAGACAUCAGUGCUCCGCAUAACACCCCUCAGAACAGUAAGACCAUGUGGUCCAACAGAGCCAAGCACAGUGAGGCGGAAAGAGGUAGGCUGCAUCUC